rnacentral:rRNA from 1 species
GUCUACGGCCAUGUUACCCUGAACAAGCCCGAUCCCGUCUGAUCUCAGAACCUAAGCAGGGUUGGGCCUGGUUAGUACUUGGAUGGGAGACCACCUAGGAAGAUCAGGUGUCUUAGGUC